GACGAACGCUGGCGGCGUGCUUAACACAUGCAAGUCGAACGAAGAGCGAUGGAAGCUUGCUUCUAUCAAUCUUAGUGGCGCACGGGUGAGUAACGCGUAAUCAACCUGCCCUUCAGAGGGGGACAACAGUUGGAAACGACUGCUAAUACCGCAUACGAUCUGACCUCGGCAUCGAGGAUAGAUGAAAGGUGGCCUCUACAUGUAAGCUAUCACUGAAGGAGGGGAUUGCGUCUGAUUAGCUAGUUGGAGGGGUAACGGCCCACCAAGGCGAUGAUCAGUAGCCGGUCUGAGAGGAUGAACGGCCACAUUGGGACGGAGACACGGCCCAGACUCCUACGGGAGGCAGCAGUGGGGAAUCUUCCGCAAUGGACGAAAGUCUGACGGAGCAACGCCGCGUGAGUGAUGACGGCCUUCGGGUUGUAAAGCUCUGUUAAUCGGGACGAAAGGCCUUUUUGCGAAUAGGGAGAAGGAUUGACGGUACCGGAAUAGAAAGCCACGGCUAACUACGUG
rnacentral:rRNA from 1 species